UGAGAGGGUGGACGGCCACAUUGGGACUGAGAUACGGCCCAGACUCCUACGGGAGGCAGCAGUGGGGAAUAUUGCACAAUGGGCGCAAGCCUGAUGCAGCGACGCCGCGUGGGGGAUGACGGCCUUCGGGUUGUAAACCCCUUUCGCCCACGACGAAGCGUAAGUGACGGUAGUGGGAUAAGAAGCACCGGCUAACUACGUGCCAGCAGCCGCGGUAAUACGUAGGGUGCGAGCGUUGUCCGGAAUUACUGGGCGUAAAGAGCUCGUAGGUGGUUUGUCGCGUCGUCUGUGAAAUUCCGGGGCUCAACUCCGGGCGUGCAGGCGAUACGGGCAUAACUUGAGUGCUGUAGGGGAGACUGGAAUUCCUGGUGUAGCGGUGAAAUGCGCAGAUAUCAGGAGGAACACCGAUGGCGAAGGCAGGUCUCUGGGCAGUAACUGACGCUGAGGAGCGAAAGCAUGGGUAGCGAACAGGAUUAGAUACCCUGGUAGUCCAUGCCGUAAACGGUGGGCGCUAGGUGUAGGGGACUUCCACGUCUUCUGUGCCGUAGCUAACGCAUUAAGCGCCCCGCCUGGGGAGUACGGCCGCAAGGCUAAAACUCAAAGGAAUUGACGGGGGCCCGCACAAGCGGCGGAGCAUGUGGAUUAAUUCGAUGCAACGCGAAGAACCUUACCUGGGCUUGACAUACACCGGACCGGGCCAGAGAUGGUCCUUCCCUUGUGGCCGGUGUACAGGUGGUGCAUGGUUGUCGUCAGCUCGUGUCGUGAGAUGUUGGGUUAAGUCCCGCAACGAGCGCAACCCUUGUCUUAUGUUGCCAGCACGUGAUGGUGGGGACUCAUGAGAGACUGCCGGGGUCAACUCGGAGGAAGGUGGGGAUGACGUCAAAUCAUCAUGCCCCUUAUGUCCAGGGCU
rnacentral:rRNA from 1 species